AUCAGAUAACGUGUGGUAAAAACUCCGCCUUAUAGGCAACAGAAAAGUUGGGUUUAGCUCAUGAUUAUUUUCAUACAAGUAUGAAAAAAUCUGUAGAUUAAUAGAAUCUGAAGUGAUUGAACUGAUAGUCCUGUUAGUGUCAGCAACUAUAUAUAGGGAGUAAAAGAGUGGAAGAGUAAGUAAAAGAUGAUGUUCAGAAGACUGAACCAGAGGCUCUGAUUCUCCUCUUGCACCGUUUUUUUUGUGGAAGCCACUUGAUAGAUCUUGAAGAGACUGAUCCUGAUUUCCACUGCAAAUCAAGGAUGUGGCUGAACAGUGAAUGUGUGUAAAAUGCAGGCAGUGCUAAAACUGAAAGAGAACAAGAAGCACCUGUAGAAAGCAAACUGGAGGGUACCCUGUCUGGUACAGUCGGGCCAGUAUCAAAAUCUGUGGUGUAUGUGGAGACAGAAACAGGGAAAUAAUAUUUCCUAUGCUUUUGGUUUUUUAUGAAGGAUGCACUAGGAAUUGGGCAAUCUGUCCCAGGGACCUCAUCAGAAUGUACACAUGCACAGUCUCAGAGACUUCUGCAGAGAAAUGUGUGUUGUGCUUGAGGGACAGACUUCUCUGGAUGACUGAGAGAGGUCAUUGCCAAAGUUUAGAAAAUUAACUUGAAACCAACUUGGAAGCCUUCUGCACAGACUCUUCCCAUCUGCACGCCACGAGUCGGCUCCCUGCUCCCAGAUCUGAACACUGGAUUUGAAACUCCCGGCAUUGUGCUAAUGUGCAUCACCACUUUGAAGUUUAUUGAGAAAUCAAUUUUUCUGGGUUUAGUUUAAUUAAUAAGUACCAGUCUUACAUCUGCUCAGCAGCUCUCCCAAGAAAGCUGCUCUAAGAUGCCAGUGAUUACACCAAGCUUCCUCUCUUUAUUUGCUCAUUUCUACCUUGACCUCAUCUGCACAGAAGCCACUGCUGGAUGUUCAGCGCUGUAACCACUCUGAAAGGCACUUUUUUACCCAGGCAUCAAGUCUGAAGCAUGAGAUAUUUGUACGUGGCAGAAUGGAGGCUGUUGCUGUCAUCCACCUGGAAGGAUUACCGUUGGAAAGAAUCGCCACACUGAGGGUUACUCCUGCAGUGUCUAACUGACCUACCUGAUGAGAAGGGAGCUGUUCCUCCUGAACGUUUCCAUUCUGUCUCUGAGGCACUCGGGCAGCGACUCCCCAUGAGCUACAACUGAAGGAGUGAUGAUCACAUCAUGGAAAAGAGACUCAGAGACAGUGAGAAAUGAGCAGCUGGAGGUGUGACUGUAUCACUGGACUUGAUAGAACUGGCUGCUUUACAUCAGCUCUAUCAUAUGGAUAUGAGCAGACUGAGAUGUACUGCACCUGCAGAAUAAGGCAGAGGAUGGCAGUCAGCAGAGCCCAGCCUGCCUGGUGGAACCGUGUGCCUGAAGCUGCAGGUUAACUGCCGUUGGAUCAGACUCCAACUACAUAAGAGAAGAAAGUGUUCGACUGCUAGGGUGACUUCCUGAGCCAAGACCUGAACCGUCCUGCCUGUGAGACCCAGGGCUCCAGAUCCAAAGUUUUGCAGUGUCAUGCCAUGCCUGAUGCUGGGACCCCACCAUGCUGAGCUCUGGCUGAACAAGACAGCAAAUGUUCCAAGAAAAACUGAGUUUCCUUUAUACCAGAUGCAUACCUGGAUUUAAGGAACUGAAAUUGCAGGGGGUAUAAUGUCCCCUUCUCUCAGAACAGUGGCACUUGUCCUGGCUAAAGCAGCCCGUCCAUGAGAGCCCUCCUUGGACAAGGCAGCAGAGGGUGUCCAUCUCCAGCAUCCUGCUCAGCUCAGCACUUGUGUCUGAGCCAGUUUUGCAGCCAUCCUGCUGCCCUGCAGGAGCUCUGGCAAGGAAUCAGGGCAGGAGGUACAGGGCGUGCCCUCAGCUGGGAACAGCUUAUGCUGCCACUAACAACAGCUUGGGGUGUCUCUGCCUUAGCUGCUGUGCUCUGAUACAGCUCUCAUCCUGCUCACUUUCUGAUUACUUUGGGCUAUCCAUGGAUUAGAAUGGGAGCCAUUGAGAAGGUAGAAAGAAGUCUAAAACAUUACAGCUGAAAGGUGCCAUUCCUGAGCAAGGAAAAGCCAGUGCAGAGGGAAGUUGGUCCAUUAUUAUGAACAGACGUUAUCAGUGAUCACAGUGAGCAUCAAAAUCUGAGAAAUUAAAUCAUCCUGGUGGGGACAGGAGAAAUCAGGGUGCUGGGAACACUAAAUUUUUUUUGUUGUUGUUGUUCCUUUGUUGUUAUAAAUGGUUUUGUUCAGAGUUUUGGUCCAAAAGAGAAAACUGCAUACCAAAAAGUUUGAUAAACAGGUUUUGAUAGCAUGGAAGACCCCUGCAGGCCUUAAUGUCUCCCCUCUCCCAGCCUGGGAGCAGGGAUUGAUGUCCCUGACCAGUCCCACCUGGGCCCCAGGCCAGACCCUAUUUAAGCUCAGUCUCUGUUCUGAUGCACUGCUUGGCUAGAAGAGUACUGGUACUACCAGAAGGGAUGCAACAGCUGGGCAUGAAGUGAAGCAGUGCAGAUGAAUUGACUGGCUUAAGGGCAACAUGAAAAUGCACCCUAAAUAGUGAACAAAGAGCUAAAUUAUGCCUGUGCUGUUGUACUGAUGCUUAAGUGACUAAAAGGUCACUUACAAACAAAAAUAGCUACUUGCAUGUUCAAGUGUUAUGUUGUAGAAGACUACUUAGGGAAUGUGUGUGUCUGUUGGACUUAGACACAGCCAUUUCUGUCCCAACAAAAUGAAUUUCACUGCAUAUGUCCCCCCAAGGCAUCAUUAUAAUUUUAUUCUUACAGAGAGCAGCAGGAUUGAGGACAACAAAUUCAGAUUAUUUCCUUUCUGACAGAUGUAAACAUAGCACCUGCAAAUGUGCUAUGGUCUGCACUGCAGGUAUUGCUGUUGCAAACUCAACAAUCUAAAUUCAGGUAUUAAGAAUUCUGUUUUUUCUACUGGAAAUACUUUACUUCCUCUGUAUUUACACAUCUGUGUGAGCAUGCUGUAUAUUUUUAAUUUGUUUUGCCUGAUAAUUUUAUUAUUUCUUGAAAGUGGAACUGUAGAAUAUGCUACAGCUGGGAAAUACAGCAGUGUGAUGGAAGGCAUAGCUUGUUAUGUCAUUGUGAUUGUGGGUUUUAUGUUUUAUUCUGAAUAGUGGCAGGCUGUGUUAGUGCAGAUAGCCAAAGGCACUGUACCAAGCUAUUCUGAUUGACAAGAAGUUGAUACAAAACUAUUUUCAUGCACAGAAAAGCACAACUCCUUUACUAGGAACUAGUUAAAAGGGAAACUAACAAAACCAAAUCCCAAACCUUUCCUAGCUUUGUGGAGACAGAGUUCUUGUUUAAGUAUUCACCCUCAGAAACAAGAUCUUACAAUUUAUUUCUCACUGGCGAUCUUCACCAACUUAAAAGAUGCUAUUUGAUUGCCUAGAUGUGCAGCUGCACAGUCAUUCUGCAAAAUCUGUGGGAUAUUGACUAUGAAUUAUGGCAAGACAACGAGCAGAAGAAAACCAAAUCCUCCACGGUAUUCAUUAAUGGUUGCCUGUGACAAACCACUGUCAGCUUUAAUAGUUUUCCUGGGGUGAUUCUUGCUUCCUCUGUGGGAGACUUUUGAGAUUGCUAAAGAGGAUUCCUAAGUUGUAGCAAUAGUUAAAUAACUUUCAUCAAAUGUAAUGCAAAACAGUUAGAAAAAAGUUAUCUUCUAUUUCAUUUUAUUUCUUCAUAAAGAAGUAAUCUUUUUAGAACAGAUGGUCUAAUCAAAUACCUGCACAACCAUCACUAAGUAAUGCCUAUAUUCACUAGAGCAUUACCAGAACAGUGAGCUGAUGUUUUACUAAUCACCCCAAUGAGAGAAAUGCUGAGUGCCAUUCAAUAAACAGUUAAUUUCCCAAUGCUGGACUAGCUUUUCCUUUGUUAUCAUUGAAAUUAGCCAGCCCUUCCAAGCCAAGGCAGGCUGUCUUCCCCAGCUCUGACAGUCCUUGAUUUUGCAUGCUAUCACACCAGUUUGAAUAGGAUGCAGUGUAGUAGCUGUGAAUGAGGAUAGCAAAACCAGGUCACUUAAAGCUGUAAAAAAACUUUCAAUCCACAUUUAUGUAAUAUUGCAUGUUUAUGUAAUGUUUUGCAUACUACUUUUUAGCUCUAAAUCUCCAAAUUACUUACAACCAUGUUCAGCUGCCCACA